UGAGGAAUCUGGCAGGUGGGACCAUGAAGGUGGUUUCCCUAGGGUGAGGCUCUGAUUGAACGUGGAAUGUGCUGGCCCCUGGGACGUCCCCUCAUGUGGGAAACGUGACCACAUACUCUAUGGUAGUGGAGUAUGCAUUUAUGCUCUCCCUCA
ensembl:snRNA U1 U1 spliceosomal RNA